CUGCUGUAUCGACCUGUUUAUUUUGCCUGCACUCAAACGUCCCAUCGGCUUUAUCAUGAGAUUGAUGAUGAAACUCGUCUGUUUGGCUGUUGUACUAUUUGUUACUCUGACAUCCUCGGUCGUGUGGUCACAGGACAUGUGGAGAGGGGACAGAGGUGAAUGGCAAUUCAGUUACAAAGGAGACGAUACGAGCAUGCGCGGAAGUGGUCGAGGCUACUUCCCGUAUGGAAGUAUGAUUAUGGGAGGAAUUGGCGGUGGAAUGUAUCACUAACUGUUUAAUACAUAGGCUUGAUUAUAGUGUUGACGGUAAUAGUUAAAUCAUUUAUCAUUUACAAUAUACAGUGAACAGGUGAACGGCCGACGACGCAUAUACAUAUGUCUUGUGCAAGAUCAACUGUGGUUAUUUGAAACGAUCACUUUUCCGAUGGAUGAACUCUCGUUUCUUUUAUAACCUUUUCAAGCUAAACUAUCUUUUGAGUUGUUUAAUGUGUGUUUUAUGAAUAAACAUAUUUU